rnacentral:siRNA from 1 species
AGAGUCUAUUGAGAAGAUGUAUCA